rnacentral:lncRNA from 1 species
GAUUUUCUCUAUCACCUAGCAUCCUAGACCGAUGGGGAGAGACUUUUUUUUUUGCAAGGUUAAAUGAGGAAUAGUCAAGACCAGAAGUAUCUCACCAUGCCUUCUAAGUCUAUAGUGUGGGAACUUGAGGUUCUGGCUCUCCUACCAUGGGGCCUUUGAACUUGCUGCUGUCUCUGCUUAUAAUAUGCAUUCUUGGAUGAUUCAAACAGGUCAUCAAUGUAAACCUACUGCACACCACAGUUCUCUGCACACUGCCUUACAACCUUUACUGUACCCAGUGCAACUUAUAAUCACGACACUGAUUUACUAGCGUGGUUUUGGUCUAACUCCUCUAAAAGGAAUGCACUCUGCCAGUCAGUCUUGGUCUUGUCCCCAUUGUAUCCCUGCACUAGGCGAAUACUCAGCAGCAACAGCGGCACUCUGAGGAGCAAGGACUCACCGCUCCUUUGCAAUGUGGUCGAGUUUGUAGCUGGGUUGAUUGUCCUUCAGGCGCUCCACAGAAUUCCACUCACUCUUCCCAUAGGCUCUGCGGAGCUUCCGAACAAACACCUUGUAUUCUCUGAAUUUUACGACAAUGGGCUCAUGGAGGAGGAAUUUAAUGUCUUUGAUAAGAAAAAAGGUUCGGGCCGCCGUGGAACCCUUGCUCACUUUCUUCUUAUGCUUGGGCUCAUGGGGAUAAAUGCCCUUCAGAAUGCACAGCCGCCUGGAAGAUAAGCCACCUAUUAAAUCAGCAAAGGGGCAAAGCACUGGCCACAGUGGGCCUAGAAAGCAAGAGUGACCAGGAAUCAUGGGAGCCUGUACUUAGACACUGCAAGUGAGUGAGUCUGGUGGUCACAAGUUCCUAAACACCCAGUGCAGGCAGACUGUCACAAGCACUUCAGUGGAAGCAGACAGGGCACUGACAAAGGCUGGCAGACACCUAAACCAGGAAAUUCAGACAUACAGAAGGCAUAGGGCUGAGCAUUCUGGGGGACAGCCAAGAAUGGUGAUGCACACUUGUUCUCCUGGCACCCAGGGGGCUGAGGCAAGAGGAACCUAAGUCUGAGGCUAAUCUGCACUAUGGGAGUUUGUUGAUCUCAAACAAACAAGUAGACAAAAAUAGGCAAGGGGACACAGCUCAGUGGCAGAGUGCUUGAGUAGCAUGUGUGAGGCCCUUGGUUCAGUGUCCAGCCCUGCAGAAAACAACCAAAAGAAUUCUCCUCAAGGGGCUGGAGAGAUGGCUCAGAGGUUAAGAGCACUGGCUGUUCUUCCAGAGGUCCUGAGUUCAAUUCCCAGCAACCACAUGGUGGCUCACAACCAUCCGUUAUGAUAUCUGGUGUGCAGAUACACAUGGAAGCAGAAUGUUGUAUACACAAUAAAUAAAGAAAAUCUUAAAAAAAAUUCUCCUCAAAACAACAAAAGCCUGUAACCACCACACCCCACACACAAAUCAACACACAUAGAGAGGGAAGGUCGCAGAGGUCAGCAUUAGCCAGAUAGAAGGACCCACAGACUACAGAGACAUCUGGACUUGACUCUACAAGGAGAGCCCCCAGCUGUAGGACUCAGGAAAAGCCUUCUGUCAGAAGGGAGGUGAUAAAGGGCACACAUCCAGGCAGCCACCAGUUCUCAGACCACACCUGGCAAAGCACAGCUCACUAGCAAAGAGGUGAGGAAGAGGAGGAAUAUUACAGGAUGGCUAGGAUGCUCCAGAAAGGCUGUGUUUCCACUGUGCAUUUAUCUCAUUACCCAGGCUCCCAGAAAACCCCUAUUCUGUUCUUCUCCAACCUCAUCUGAAAAUUGUCAGGCUCAGCUGCAGCUUCUUCCGGGCUUUGUUUCGGGUGAUAUAAUUGGUGGCAGAGCCUCGUUCAUACUUAGGGAGGAAAACAAACAAUUCUCUGUUAGUGAUGACCGCAGGAAGUGACACCCUACUCUGGGAAAAAUGAAUUCUAGAGACAGCUAACAGUGUAGGUGUCAGAGUGAUAUUUCUGGGAUGGGGAUGCCAUAGGGAGUGAAAUGACCUGCCCAAAGGAGCUCGGCACUGUCU